GCGGCGUGCCUAACACAUGCAAGUCGAACGGAAUUGAGGGGCUUGCUCCUUAAUUUAGUGGCGCACGGGUGAGUAACGCGUAGAUAAUCUGCCUGAUGAUCUGGGAUAACACUUCGAAAGGGGUGCUAAUACCGGAUAAGCCCACGAAGUCUUUGGACUUUGCGGGAAAAGGGGGGGACCUUUUGGCCUUCUGUCAUCAGAUGAGUCUGCGCACCAUUAGCUAGUUGGUAGGGUAAAGGCCUACCAAGGCUACGAUGGUUAGCUGGUCUGAGAGGAUGAUCAGCCACACUGGAACUGAGACACGGUCCAGACUCCUACGGGAGGCAACAGUGGGGAAUUUUGCGCAAUGGGCGAAAGCCUGACGCAGCAACGCCGCGUGAGUGAUGAAGGCUUUCGGGUCGUAAAGCUCUGUCGAGGGGAAAGAAGUGUAUUGAGGCUAAUAUCCUUGAUACUUGACGGUACCCCUAAAGGAAGCACCGGCUAACUCCGUGCCAGCAGCCGCGGUAAUACGGGGGGUGCAAGCGUUGUUCGGAAUUAUUGGGCGUAAAGCGCGUGUAGGCGGUUUGAUUAGUCUGAUGUGAAAGCCCUGGGCUCAACCCAGGAAGUGCAUUGGAAACUGUCAGACUUGAAUACGGGAGAGGGUAGUGGAAUUCCUAGUGUAGGAGUGAAAUCCGUAGAUAUUAGGAGGAACACCGGUGGCGAANGCGGCUACCUGGACCGAUAUUGACGCUGAGACGCGAAAGCGUGGGUAGCAAACAGGAUUAGAUACCCUGGUAGUCCACGCCGUAAACGAUGAGUACUAGGUGUUGCGGGUAUUGACCCCUGCAGUGCCGCAGCUAACGCAUUAAGUACUCCGCCUGGGAAGUACGGUCGCAAGACUAAACUCAANGAAUUGACGGGGGCCCGC
rnacentral:rRNA from 1 species